AGCAAGAGGAAGACGUUUAUAAUUGCCCCCACAAUGAGGAUGCAGGAGCGAAGUGUGAACAACAUAAUCCUGACCUUCUUGGUGCUUGACCUGCAGGUCCAGAGUGACCUUUACUUUUUCAUGGGCCCUGACUGGCCCAGCAUGAGCAUUGGGCCUGCAGGCCUUAGCUGCCGCUCCCUCAGCCCCUCAGCAGGAGUCUGAACACUCUGCCACACCUGGCUCUCAGAGCCAAGCAGCCCCAUCGCUGCCUGGAGAUAUGAGUUGUUGAAGUCCUUCUUGCUGGAGAAGAUGCACUCCCAGUCACCCUCUCCUCACUGCUGACCCUUUGACAUUGGUUCUCUCCUCCCCUGCUUCUUCUCAGCCAGCCUGGGAUCUCCAAGCCUGUUCCUUUGACCAUGACAGUCCAUUUCUAAGACAAGAUCUAUGUCUGUAAAGAACAUGAAAGGAACAGGACAACAAAAGGAAUAUUGGAAAGGAAAUGUGGGUACACAGUUAUCUAUGGAACUGGGAGGAAAGCUUAGAGUCUUUUUGAACUCUUUUUCUCAAGCUUCAGGUGUUCACAACAAUAACACCUCACUAUUCUCUUAUUCGUUUAUGACAGUAGACCAUUUUUCAAGAGCAAAGCAGAGCAGAGCACGAUUUGUGAUCCUAGAGAUUUUCAUGACACUUAAGAAAACAUUUGACAUCCCCUUAAUGCCCAUAGUAAAAUAUGUUUGUUGCCCAUCUAGAUACAACUUGCUAAUGUGCUGUGCAUUUAACAAGAAGAAUCUCACAAAUGAAUUAUCUUAGGAAAAAUGUAUUCGCAUAGAGCUACCACUGGGAGAAGGGAAAGGAAGGGAUGCAAAAAGAGUUUGGGGAGGUCCAGAGUUGUGCCUCAUGCAAAUCAGAUGACAUCAUUUUAAUUUUAUGAACUCAGACUUUGAAGUCUGCAAGUCUGAGGCAAGACAGAGCAGCACUGAGCUGAGAAUCAUGAUUUGAUUCUAAAAAUGGACAACUUUAAACUCAGACCAAGUUGAGUGGCUGCAACAAGCCUACAUUUAUGCUUUCUAAUAAAGUACAUCUUGAAGUCUCAGCAGUUGCCUCUCUGUGUGAUAAACUCUUCCUACCUAAGGGGAAGCAAGAGUGUCAGCUUUCCGGGGAUGGACUUUGAGGCAGGAUUAGGUAGAAAGGAACCUUACAGCAAAUGCAGUCAUAUGUGGGUACGUGAAACUUGGCCCACACAUCAUUUUAUUUCUGGUAUAAAUUAACUGUGUUUUAUUUUAAAUACUUAUUUUUGAUAGUCUUCUGGACACCUUUUCCCCCUAAAAACAAUGCAAGAUGCUCAUUGAGAGCUCCUUGAAGACAUUUUUUGGUGUGUGUAUCUUAAGACUUGAUUUUUUCUAACAGAGCCACUUUAAGUUCACAACAAAAUGAAGUAGAAGCUGCAGAGAUUUUCCAUAUACCUUCUGCCCUCACACAGGCAUAACUUCCCCUAUUCUUAACAUUCCCAGCAGAGUAGCACAUUUGUUACCACGAACCUACAGUGAAAUAUCAUUAUUACCGAAAUCCCAUAGUUUACCAUUUUACACACGUUACAAAUUUAUAAGCACGUAUUUACCAUUACAGUAUCAUACAGAAUAGUUUCAACAUCUAAAAAUCCUCUAUGCUCUGCUUAUUCAUCCCUCAUUCCCUUCUAAUCCCCGGCAACCACUGAUCCCUUUUACUGUCUCCAGAGUUUUACCUUUUCCAGAAUGUCAUAAUUGGAAUUAUACAGUAUGUAGCCUCCUCAGAUUGGUUUCUUUCACUUAGUAAUAAGCAUUUGUGUUUCCUCCAUGUCUUUUCAUAGGUUGAUAGCUCAUUUCUUUCAAUCACUGAAUAAUAUCGCAUUGCCUGGAUGUACCACAUUAAAAAAAUCAUUUAUCUAUUGAAGAGUAUCUUGGUGCUUCCAAGUUUUGACGCUCAUGAAUAAAGCUUCUGGCAACAUC